UGACCUCGAAUCAGGUGGGACUACCCGCUGAACUUAAGCAUAU
rnacentral:rRNA from 1 species